GGGAUUCCUUCUUUUUUUCUUCUUCUUUCACCUUCUUUCUAAACUCCUUCAUUAUUUUACAUUUCAAGACAGAACCUUUUAAUCAAUUCUCAAAAAUAGAAAACCAUCCAACCUUUCACAUAUCUGUAUAAUUUGGAACUUACCUCGAUGAAUUUCUGCACUCGAUCAGUAAUAUUGAACCAUUCCAUCCUUUUCUAGUUGAAUUUUGAUAUGCAGUAACUCCUUCUUCACCUUUUUCU
rnacentral:lncRNA from 1 species